rnacentral:rRNA from 1 species
AGUGAACGCUGGCGGUAGGCCUAACACAUGCAAGUCGAACGGCAGCACAGUAAGAGCUUGCUCUUACGGGUGGCGAGUGGCGGACGGGUGAGGAAUACAUCGGAAUCUACUUUUUCGUGGGGGAUAACGUAGGGAAACUUACGCUAUUACCGCAUCCGACCUACGGGUGAAAGCAGGGGAUCUUCGGACCUUGCGCGAUUGAAUGCGCCGAGGUCGGAUUAGCUAGUUGGCGGGGUAAAGGCCCACCAAGGCGACGAUCCGUAGCUGGUCUGAGAGGAUGAUCAGCCACACUGGAACUGAGACACGGUCCAGACUCCUACGGGAGGCAGCAGUGGGGAAUAUUGGACAAUGGGCGCAAGCCUGAUCCAGCCAUACCGCGUGGGUGAAGAAGGCCUUCGGGUUGUAAAGCCCUUUUGUUGGGAAAGAAAAGCAGCAGGUUAAUACCCCGCUGUUCUGACGGUACCCAAAGAAUAAGCACCGGCUAACUUCGUG